rnacentral:rRNA from 1 species
CUGUCUGAACAUGGGGGGGACCACCCUCCAAGCCUAAAUACUCCCUGGUGACCGAUAGCGAACAAGUACCGUGAGGGAAAGGUGAAAAGCACCCCGAAAGGGGAGUGAAAAAGACCUGAAACCGGAUGCCUACAAGCAGUCGGAGCCCCUUCUGGGGUGACGGCGUACCUUUUGUAUAAUGGGUCAGCGAGUUUCUGUUCGCGGCAAGCUUAAGCCGAUAGGCGAAGGCGCAGCGAAAGCGAGUCUGAACAGGGCGUUCAGUCGCGGGCAGAAGACCCGAAACCGAGUGAUCUAGCCAUGGCCAGGUUGAAGGUGGGGUAACACCCACUGGAGGACCGAACUCACGCCUGUUGAAAAAGUCGGAGAUGAGCUGUGGCUAGGGGUGAAAGGCCAAUCAAACUCGGAAAUAGCUGGUUCUCCGCGAAAUCUAUUGAGGUAGAUCGUCGGAUGUUUACCCUCGGGGGUAGAGCACUGGAUGGGCUAGGGGGACCCAAAGUCUUACCAAACCUAACCAAACUCCGAAUACCGAGAAGUAUAGUCCGGCAGACAGACGGCGGGUGCUAAGGUCCG